UCCGUAGGUGAACCUGCGGAAGGAUCAUUACCGAGUUGAUUCGGGCUCCGGCCCGAUCCUCCCACCCUUUGUGUACCUACCUCUGUUGCUUUGGCGGGCCGCGGUUCUCCGCGGCCGCCCCCCUCCCCGGGGGGUGGCCAGCGCCCGCCAGAGGACCAUCAAACUCCAGUCAGUAAACGAUGCAGUCUGAAAAACAUUUAAUAAACUAAAACUUUCAACAACGGAUCCCUUGGUUCUGGCAUCGAUGAAGAACGCAGCGAAAUGCGAUAAGUAAUGUGAAUUGCAGAAUUCAGUGAAUCAUCGAAUCUUUGAACGCACAUUGCGCCCUUUGGUAUUCCGAAGGGCAUGCCUGUUCGAGCGUCAUUACAACCCUCAAGCUCUGCUUGGUAUUGGGCACCGUCCUUUGCGGGCGCGCCUCAAAGACCUCGGCGGUGGCGUCUUGCCUCAAGCGUAGUAGAACAUACAUCUCGCUUCGGAGCGCAGGGCGUCGCCCGCCGGACGAACCUUCUGAACUUUUCUCAAGGUUGACCUCGGAUCAGGUAGGGAUACCCGCUGAACUUAAGCAUAUCAAUAAGCGGAGGA
rnacentral:rRNA from 1 species